CACUUCAGAAAACGUGCAUGCCACAUUCACAGCCCUCAUUACUCCCAUAUAUUUUCCGUAGCUCUUUUGCCGUAUUAAAAAAUGAAGCUAAGAUAUAAAAUCACCUUCUUUUUAUACUCUAAAGAAUCUCUAAAGAGUAUGUUGCUAUAUUUUUCCAAUUUUUGUCAUUACAUAGCUAUCUCCUGAAUGUUAUUUUAGAAAACACUUGAAUCCUUUUGAAAGCUGACCUUGAAAUUAUAAUUUUAUUACUGAAUAAGUGGACAAGCAGUGACAUAGCUUCCUGUUUCAUACUUUGUAAAACAAACUUUUAGUUACAGGAUUUUAGGGAGAGGGGCGUGCGUGGAGUGUAGGAUCACGGGAGACAUGCGGUUGCUUAGAGGUGCUGAGCGCAUGUCCCCAGCAUCGCACAGGCUGCUGGGCUGGG
rnacentral:lncRNA from 1 species